rnacentral:lncRNA from 1 species
UCUUUCUAGCCCAGAGACACCAGACUCCAGACUCAGGCUUUGUCUGGGGUGGAGGUUCCUUCAGGUCCCUGGUCACGGAGGGUAUUGGCAUAAAGGUACUGGUGACUGUGAGGGCUCUGAAUAAUGCCAGCUGAUCUUUGCCAGCGGUGGCACCCACUGCUUCCCCCUAGGGCAAGCCCUGCCCUCCCUGAGAAGCUCAGCAAGGUGUGUCAUCGCCACCCUCCCCAAAGCCUGGGCCAGUUUAGGCUGCGUUCAGUCUCUAAGGCUUCCUCACCGGGUAAGGAGCAGAACCCAGCCGGGCAGGAGGAUGGGCCGGGAGGGCCCCGCACAUCCGGAGCAACAGCACAGACUCCUGCUGGCUCUGGUUGCCAGCCUCCUCCUCACUUGUGGGCCAGGCAAAACGAAGUCUUCACCUACCAAUGACAAAAGUACCAGAAAUUCUCAAACUGAGUUUUCGAUCAUGAAAAACACCCAAAAUUUGAUCACGACGUCCAUGGGAAAAAGUCAACACUCCAAAAGUGAGGCAUCCACGCCGACACUAGGUAAAACGCCACGGACCGUGACAACCAUGACGGGCAGCCUAGGGGGCAGCACACCUCCCCGUGAGGCAAGCUCUCUGGGCCCCACGGCCCGGCCGACAAAGCCUGCCUCCUCCUCAGUGGGGACCUGGUACAGAGUGGAGGCCACCACAUCGGGGCUGGAAUCCGGCCACACUGCCUCCCACCAAUCAACCCCCACCCUGGAGCCCCCCUCAAGAGCAAGGGACUCUAGGGAUUCACAGUCCGAACCCACGACCUCGGGGGUCUCUGCCACGAACAACGACACCCAUUCCCCAGGGACCAGGGCAUCUGGCCAGACCACGCCAGCACCGAAGAGCAGCGCAGCCAGCCACAGAGCCACCCACACCUCUGGUGGGCACAUGGUCACUAGCAAGCCUGGCCCAGCCGCAAAUGUCACGGUGGCCACUGGCUCAGGCCCUGAGUCUCACCCGGGACCCAACCAGUCCACCACUACAGAGCCCAUGCUCACCAGAGCCACCAGCGCCAGGACGGCUUCUACCCCGUCUGGGCCAGAACCCACAGCAGUGACCAGCGAGGCCCAAAUGGCCCCGACUCGGGUCUCCACGACUGCUCUACCCAGCCUGGGCAUCUCUGCCACCAUAAACACGGGAGCCACCAGCUCCCUCACAACCCCUGCUGCUCCCAGCUCCGUGCCCUCAAUGAGUGGGCGCUUAGCCAGCGGAAACACCAAGCCAUCCUCUGCACCAAGCACUGCGCCUGUGCAGCACAGAAGCUUUGCCCGCACCCUCAAUACCACGAGGACAAUCAAAUCCCCUUCCAGUGACUCAUCCACUGUGUGGAGACAUAGCCUCUCUGCUCCCGCUGCCACCAGCGAAAGUCUCCAAUCCAUGGGUAAGUCGCCCACCGCUACGCCAGGAAAAACAUCCUGGACCGUGACCACCUGGACAGGCAGCAUGGGG